GGUGACACAGGGUGAUAAUGGCAGGGUCAGGGUGACAAUCCCGGGUGACACCAGGUGACAAUGGCAGGUCAGGGUGACACCGGGUGACAAUUCUGGGUGACACAGGGGUGACAGUGGCAGGUCAGGGUGACAAUCCCAG